CUUCCUCGAUCUGCUGCGGGCAGAUGAAGUGGAUGUGGCUGUCGAUGCCGCCGGCCGUGACGAUCAUGCCUUCGCCGGCGAUGAUCUCGGUGGCGGCGCCGAUGGCCAUCGUCACGCCCGGCUGGAUGUCCGGGUUGCCGGCCUUGCCGAUGCCGGCGAUGCGGCCGUUCUUCAGGCCGAUGUCGGCUUUCACGAUGCCCCAGUGGUCGACGAUCACGGCAUUCGUGAUCACCGUGUCCAUCACGUCGGCAUGCACGCGCUGCGACUGGCCCAUGCCGUCGCGGAU
rnacentral:sRNA from 1 species